AUACUUACCUGGGAGGGGAUAUACCAUGACCACGAAGGUGGUUUCCCCAGGGUGAGGCUCACCCAUUGCAUUCUGGGUGUGCUGACCCCUGUGAUUCCCCCAAAAGUGGGAAACUCAACUGCAUAAUUUGUGGUAGUGGGGAACUGCAUUCGCGCUCUUCCCUU